UUCUUGUUCUUGUUUUUGUUCUUGUUCAUGGCCGAGAAACUUGUAGUGUUCUUGUUGUAGUCUUGGCCGAAAUUUGCGGAGUCUAGGUCUAGGAUUUCUUUGUUGUUAUUGUUGCUUCUUGAUUCACUAACACUAAAGGUAUCUAGAUCUAUAUUUGAGCUUAAAAACUUGUUAAAGUUGUGUUGUGAACAAAGACCUAGACUGAAAUUUGUGGACUUGUUGUGGAGCUUGAAGUGCGCAUUGAAGGUGUUUUUCUUGUUGUUCUUCAAAAGUUGUUGUGUUAUUGUUGUUCUUCAUCACUUCUCUUAUCUUGACCAACUUAAAGUAGUUAAUAGAUCUAGAAAAGGUGAAGACAAAGUUGGAAGACUUGUUGGUGAAAGGACUAGCUCACAUCACUCUUGACUUGACAACAACUUUUUCAACCACUUUCCUUGUUUCUAGGAGCCUUGUUUUGUGGAAACUAGUACAAGUCUAAUCUCACCUUUUUGAGUUGAAUUUGAAAAGAGUUACAAGACUUGUGUUUUUCCCUCCAAAUACUAAUUGUUUUCCAUUCCAAAAAUAUAAGGACUAAAAAUUCCAAGAAUGGUGAUUUAAACUUAUGUAGCCCCGUGACCAAUUAGGGGGUGACACAUCACCAAUUACUGUUCACACGACAAUUUUUAAGCUUAAAUUUGAUCUUCUAGUUUCAUUUUGUUGUUUCUUUUAUUUUUUCCAAUACUAACUUACAAGCUAGUAACCACUUACUAGAUUGUGAGUUAGUUUGAAAUCGUUCUUUGUGUUUACGUUCUUGUGUAUUUUUUUUCUAUUUUGGAGUCGUUGUAAACAUUGGAAUUCACCCCUUAACACCUCACGGAGUACAAACAAGCAUACAACACUUGUGAGAUUAAGUGUGAGGAAUUCAAGAACAAAGAAUAAAGAGAGAGUGUGAGGAUCUUUCUUUUACAACUAACCCAUUUGUUUUUUUGUAGUGAAACUUCUUGGCUAAACUCAAUUGAGUCGGAUGAUAUUGAAGGUAAAUCUCAAGAUGGAGAGGAAGCCAAGGUGCAAAAUAAAGACGUUGUCUGAGACUUGAAAUUGUUGUGUCCUCGGUUUCUUCUUAUUUUGUGGACUGUUUUGGAGCCAUUUUCAUUUGGCCAUUUCCAUGAAUUUGAGGUUAAAUUCCUCUCAAGAUGGAGAGGAUGAUACAAGCACGAUCAUAAAGAUGAAUGUUUUUGAGUAUUUUUGAUGUAAUCUCAGAGGUGUACGAGUUGAAGUGUUAAAAAGGGCUCCAAACUGCCCCUAAAAACACACCAUGGGUGCCUAUUUGACUACUUGGUCAUUAAAGGGCCUUUUUUUCAUUUUAUCUUUUUAUUUGUAAAGUACUAUAAAUCAAAAAAUAUAGGGUUUUAGUUCAUUAGUUUUUGUUGGAUAUUGUUGAAAGAACACAUAUCUUGAGAGAGAAGGUUUCUAGGCCUAAACUAGGACAUGAACAAGUGUGGAUUCACUUGUAAUUGUGUAUUGCUUGGAAACGUUGGUGCUUGAGCGGUGGAAUCCCUCUUGUGUCACAUAAGAGUGUGGUUUGUGUGGUCUAGUGAACCGUUUGGUUCUUGUUGUUCUUGUAAUCUUGUAACUGUUGGAUUGUUGUUAUUGUAGUGUUGUUCCUCUCGUUAUUGUUGUUUAUCUCUUGUUGUUGUUAGUUCUUUUGGUGUCAUUUACACCUUGUUUCUUGAUGUUGUUGGAAGCGAGUUUUGGUGUUUGUUGAGAUCUCGGGUUACCCUUUGUUUGUGGAGUAUUUUUUGAUUGUUUUUGAUACGUACCAAAUUUGUACCGUAUCAUUUGGUAUCAAAUCUUGUGGUUGAUUUUGUUCUAACAAAAUCUAUUUUGGGCUUGCUAGAAAGCCAAAAAAUAAAAAGAGAAAGAAGUGUUCUUGUUCUUGUUCUUGUUCUUGUUCUUAUCCUUGUUCUUGUUCAUGGCCGAGAAACUUGUAGUGCUCUUGUUGUAGUCUUGGCCGAAAUUUGCGGAGUCUAGGUCUAGGAUUUCUUUGUUGUUAUUGUUGUUUCUUGAUUCACUAACACUAAAGGUAUCUAGAUCUAUAUUUGAGCUUAAAAACUUGUUAAAAUUGUGUUGUAAACAAAAACCUAGACUGAAAUUUGUGGACUUGUUGUGGAGGUUGGAGUGCGCGUUGAAGGUGUUGUUAUUGUUGUUCUUG
rnacentral:lncRNA from 1 species